GAGGAAGUUUUGGACUGAACUGUACUCAGUCAUGUGGUAUUCGAAAUUGCUUUAGAAAUAAACAAUGUCAUCACAUUAAUGGGACAUGCUUGAAUGGCUGCAAUAAAGGUUACCAAGGAGACACUUGUACACGAGUGUGCCCAAACAGAAGGUAUGGAUACAACUGCGAAGAAACCUGUACCAACUGUAGAAUUGUCAGGAGAUGUGAUACAAUAUCAGGGAAAUGUAACGUGUUUAAAGGAUCAUUAGAUUCUGAUACAAGUGAAGAAAACCUUUUUUUUUGUGUACGGAAUGAUAUCUUCUCUUUGCUCAAGUCUUGCCUUAAAUGUCAUUUUACUGAUCUGGAGCUGUAGAACGAAAACGCGCAAAGGACGGAAUCACCAGGAGAAAAAAACUACACAGAUACCUACAAAUUUGAAUACACAGAUCCAAGUUGAAGAACGUGAAGUACAUAUAUAUGACUCUCUGAAUCAAACAGAAAUAUCCACAGAUCAAACAAAUCGACAAUCCAUUUAUGACCAUUAACAUCUGAGUUAUGUUGCAGUAUUUAAUUAUGAGCCUUAUAUACAUUAUAUCUUCAAUGUAAACACUUUAUUUAUACAUAUAAGUGCUUGUGUUGAUUAAAACAAAGAAAGAAGAGAGCAUCCAAAUCUCAAAUUACAAAGCUGUCUGGGUAUCAAUGUUCAAACUGUUGUUUAU